ACAUGACGUAGUACUUGGGGCUGGGCCCUCAAGUCUAGCCCAAUGCUCUCUUCUCUUGUAAAAUUGAGAAAACUCCUUUUAGAAAUCUCUAAAACCUCUCCUUCUGUCUCUAUUCAUGAAAAUGGAGAAAGCUUUCACUCUGGUUCAGACAGUUGCAGUGGCACCAGUCUUCUCUGCCGUUUCCUGCUGGUACUUACUUUCUCUCACUUCCCGGAAUUCCAUUCUUUUCAGGUUUGGAAGAGAAUCUGCUCGCAAAGAGCUCGGAAGCUUAAUCCAAGACCUUCGCCGCCAGAAUCCCAAUUCCUGACUUCAUUGGGUUGAUGGCAUCAGGUGGGCAGUGUGGAAAUCCCUUCAUUUGUUAAAGCUUGAGAAAACAUUGUCUUAAGGCCUUACUGGAAAACUCCUUUGGCCAUCUUCGGCUGUUUUCAGAAAGGAUCAUAUUGUACUUGGGCAUUUGGUGGUUGUUUGCAGUGUAUUGGUACACAGCGGCAGGGUGCAUGGUGGACGUUACUAGGCCUUUAUCAGGCCAAUGCUUUCUGAUCAUUGGUUCAUGGCAUCAGGUGGGCAGUGUGGAAAUCCCUUCAUUUGUUAAAGCUUGAGAAAACACUGUCUUAAGGCCUUACUGCAAAACUCCUAUGGCCAUCUUCGGCUGUUUUCAGGUCAUCUUACCUAUCCUUGACAGCAGAAUACCCUGCCUCGAAAUCUCUACCUUCACUAAGAAGCAUACCAUAAUUGUACAAAGAGAAAGAGCAGAAUUUGAAGGCUUUCUCAUUCCAAGAGCUCAGGGAUUCAACCAAUGGCUUCAGCAGGUUGCAAAAGCUUGGUGAAGGAGGCUUUCAGAGUGUGUAUAAAGGAAUAAUCAUGCCCAAAAAUGGCCAGGGUAGUCCAAUUUUGGUUGCCAUAGAAAAGUUGAAUCCACAUAGCAUACAGGUUCCAAUUCUUAUCUUCAUUACGGAACUUUAGCUGUUUGGUUAAUUUUUCCAUUUUUUCUGUCUGUUUUUCUUCCACUUGGAUUUUCUCCAUUACUACCUGGUUGGUUGGUUGGUUGGUUUUCUUAGUCUUGGAUGUUGAAUGAUUGUGAGUGGUAGUAAGUGGGGUGGAAAAAAGGGCAUGGGGUUACCAACCCAUCCUGUAAAUAAUCAAUAGAGAAUUUGCUAAAGUGAGUAGGGCAUGAAAAAAACUAAAUGCGACAAAAUGAUUUUCUAUUGAGGUUGAAAGAAAUUUGAAUGUCUUCUAUUGAUCAAGUCACGGAAGUUCUGUGUUAUACAUUAGUUCACGACCCUACAUGUAGUUCUGUGGUAUAUGACAAUUGUGGACCUUGGAAUCCAUCUGGUGCUGGAACUCUAGGAAUGUGGAGACAAUAAUUUAAUUUUCAGUGUUAGCAAGAACCAAAAGGAAGGUGAAUACUAAUAUAAGGCAAAUGGUUUUCAUGCAGUGCUCGAAAACCAUUCCUAAAGUGAAUGGUAAAUAGACUUGUUUCUCUCAGCUGGAAAACAUUUAUGCAGUGUUCUUUGUCUGACAAUGCUCUUACCAGUUACUAAAGAAAGAGAUUUUUACUCUCAAGAGCAUGAAUUGGAACAGAUUGUCAAAUUUUUUGGAAAUAGUACUUUAUAUUUGAGAAUGGAUAGAAGUAAUGAUUAAGCCCUUGAGAUGAUAUUGGCCUGUGUAAAAGAUGCAUCCCAUUACUCUUUUAAACUGUUGAGAAAGUCUCGCAUAUUCAACUGAACUCUAAGUUCAAAGUUAUCCUUUUUUAAACACCCAUUUUGGAGACAUUGUGUGCCUCUCUAUCAUUUUUAUCUAUUUAGUUGUCAAGCUUGUGGUUCUUUGCUCUUUUCAUAUCGGGUCAUAAAGCAUGGCUUGCAGAGGUUCAAUUUCUCGGUGUGGUAAAUCACCCAAAUCUGGUAAAGCUUCCAGGAUAUUGCUCUAUAAAUGGAGAAAGAGGGAUUCAACGGCUAUUGGUAUAUGAAUAUAUGCCUAAUAGAAGCUUAGAAGAUCAUCUUUUCAACAGGGCUUUGAAACCUCUUCCUUGGAUCACGAGGUUACAAAUAAUGCUUGGUGCUGCUCAAGGAUUGGCUUAUCUACACGAGGAACUGGGAGUCCAGGUGAAUAUAGUUUUCAUUUAUUUGACCUAUGUGUGACCAUGUAUUUCCUUUGAGUUUGUUUGGAAUGUAGAACUACCAUAUCAUGUGAACAUGUGACUCAUCUAUGUGAAUUUGACCAAUGGAAUACCAAAUCAGUAUAAUGACCUGCUUAAGCUAGUGAAGUAUUAGAACUAGGACUAGGAUGUAGCAACUACUUAUUAAGUCAUACAUGUUCUACUUGUUUGCUGCAUUUAUAGUGACAUCUCUGGUUUUGGAAAUUGCCUUCAGUUACAUACAUUGGUGGACACUGUCACUUCAGUAACCGUCCAUUAUCUUGAAUAUAUUCUGUACUCUAAAAACUUUAGCUGUUGGGACCCUGUGGUUGUGUCACAUGGUAUAAGAGUUCUUGAGUUCGCAGUUGUUCGGAAAUCCUCAAGGGCUAAUUGAGUGCGCCAAGGCUUUGGAUCAGAUCAGAUGAAUCGAUUUUGGGUGUGAUUUGCUCUAACAAAAACAAAGCAAGACCAAGGAUCAUGGAACACAUGCAUAAGUCAUUGGCAACUGCAACUUCUCAAGCUCAAGGAGCUUGUGCUGACCCCAUGGUAGACAGAUUGAGUAGUGUUCCAUGUGAAGUUGCUCACCAAAUUCUUUCAUUGGUCCGUUUUAGAUAUCUCACUCGCGUGGGUAGCAUGUCCAAAAGAUGCAGAGAGUUUUAUCUAUCAACUCCAUCAUUGAAUUUUUCUUCCUUUUAUGGAAACAGGCAGCAGCAAUUGCACAUGUUGAAUUGUAUAGAUAGGUAUAUGAUUCGUCGCACGGAUGAUAAGAUAAAGAGCUUUCGUAUUCAUUGGCGUUUCUCUGCAGGAAUUUCAGAAGAGAGUUUCCGAAUGAUGACUUGGAUCCUUAUUGCAGUGAGGUGCAAUGUUGAAGUGCUUGAUGUUGAGUUGAGGUUGAAUACAAAAGAUGGGGCAACACCUGAAUUGCCACCUUGCAUCUAUUGCUGUGAAUCUUUGAGGUCAAUGUUGAUCAACACUAAGCACCCUCCUUUGCUUGUUCCAAUAAUCUCCAGUACUUGAAGUUGACUAGUGUUAGAAUGGAUGAUGGGUUUGGAAAAUGGAUCUCAUGCUCAUGCAAAUUCAUUAAGGAACUAUUGUCAGAAAAUGUUCAUGUGGGAAGUUUCCCACUUGAAAGCUCGUCUUUGGAAUCAUUUACAUUGGUGUUUACCUAUAAUAGUGACCCCUGCCAUUUUAGCAUCUCAGGUGAGAAACUUGCAGAGAUAAGUAUAGAGUGGGAAAAUAGUCAAGCUAGCAGCUCUAUUACCAAAUCAUUAAAUGCUUAUACCCCAAAUCUGAAGUAUUUUAAAUGGAUUGGGAAUUUGUUGAAUUACCAAAAUUUGGGGAAAUUUAUGCGUUUAGAAAAAGCUCAUAUCUUUCUGAAGCAAAAGGGAGAUGAAUAUGACUUUGACAAUGCAUUUGAGGUUCUUUGCAGUUUCUACAGGGUUAAAUCACUUGUUCUGAGCGGGAGACUAUUAAGGUAUUGCUCAGGGAAGGUUCCAUGCAUGCCCCAUUGGAUGGUACUACCUGGGUGUGCAUAUUAAGAGCUUGACUGAUGACCUAGUCCCUGCAAUGGUCUCUCUUCUGAGAGGAGUGCCUAAUCUGAAGACUUUGUACAUCAAUUCUUACCCUUCCUUGUGUUUAAGUAAAAUAGAUUCGAGAGAGAAUGUUGAGAGAAUUGUGUAAUCGUAUUAUUGAGAAUAGGAGCCCUAUAUAUAGGGAUUACAAAGUACAU